AUAUUAAUUCAAGUUAUAAAUUUCAAAUUGUAUAAAUUUUCAAAUGAGUUAAAUAUUUAUGAAAAUUAAAGAACAUUCGUUACAUAUAUGUAAAAAAAGGGUCACAAAAGUAAACGGAUGCUUAAAGACAAGCUGUGUUUAUGCUGAAUUUAUACAAUACAUUUAGAAGCAAAUCGUUUUUACAUUGAAUUUACACAAUAAAUAUUAAGAUCGAACUCAGUUCAUGCUAAGACAUCGUUUAAUAAGUUUGAUGUGUUAAUUAUUUAUAGUUAUAGAUUGAUCAAUUGUUAAUUAAAUUGUACGUGGAAACAUAUACAAUAGAAAGAAAUGAAACUUCUAUUGAAAGUUCUAUCAGUUUUUAACAAUAUGAGUAUAUAUUGAAGAAUUAUUAGCAUUUAUUGAAAAAUUGAUUAUGAAUUGCGAUGAUUGACGAAUUAUAGUCAUAAUAUACAAUAAUUGGAUGUUAUGUUUAACAAAUCAAAUUGUUUGAUAUGUUGAAUUAUAUGACAUGAAAUUAUUGAAAUUUAUUGUAAUUCGAAUAGAUUCUAUUUCUAAUCGAUAAUUUAACAAAAAAUAUUGCUAUGAAAAGCUGAACAUUAUUAGUAAGAAUUGAUCUUACAGGAUAGAUAAGAUGAUUGAUCAAAAAUUUUAAAAGAUUUAAAUUGCCGAAUGAUGAAAAUUUUAUUACGAAUGAUAUCCAAAAAAUGACUGAUAAUACAAUGGAUUAUGCAUAUUUAUUGGCGGAUUGAUAAUGCAUUCUUAUGCCAUCUUUAUCCAGAGCAAAUUAUCAUUGAAAUGAUUGUAUUCCUUUCUGGACAUAUUAUUGCCUCAAACAUAGAUGAUCAAAUCAACGAGUUAUCUACUGAGUUGGAUUUCAGCUCUAAUUUUGGCAUGGAUCAUCCUGAUUCCUUCUUGAACAUUUGCACGUUCUAGAUCAUAGAAUUUGUUUAUAACGAUUUGGAUGGAACGAAUUAAUCAUGUUAUAAGAGGAUAAUAAAUCGUUAUUAAGUUCAUAUAUAAAAUUUUCUAUUGAAACUUUCGGAUGUCAGCUGUGUCCAGGAGGAAUUCUUAAUAUUUUGUUAAUAACAUUGUAAUUAUUUUCUUGAAUUAAAAAAAUGAUAUUGAUAAGAUCA